AACGAACGCUGGCGGCAGGCCUAACACAUGCAAGUCGAGCGAGGACUUCGGUCCUAGCGGCGGACGGGUGAGUAACGCGUGGGAACGUGCCCUUUGCUUCGGAAUAGCCCUGGGAAACUGGGAGUCAUACCGGAUGAGCCCUUUGGGGGAAAGAUUUAUCGGCGAAGGAUCGGCCCGCGUUGGAUUAGGUAGUUGGUGGGGUAAUGGCCUACCAAGCCGACGAUCCAUAGCUGGUUUGAGAGGAUGAUCAGCCACACUGGGACUGAGACACGGCCCAGACUCCGACGGGAGGCAGCAGUGGGGAAUCUUAGACAAUGGGGGAAACCCUGAUCUAGCCAUGCCGCGUGAGCGAUGAAGGCCGUAGGGUUGUAAAGCUCUUUCAGCUGGGAAGAUAAUGACGGUACCAGCAGAAGAAGCCCCGGCUAACUCCGUG
rnacentral:rRNA from 1 species